rnacentral:rRNA from 1 species
AUACGAAGGGUGCUAGCGUUGUUGGGAAUUACUGGGCGUAAAGAGCAUGUAGGCGGAUAGAUUAGUCAGAGGUGAAAGCCCCGAGCUCAACUCGGGAACUGCCUUUGACACUGUUUAUCUAGAGACCGAGAGUGGUGAGUGGAAUUCUCAGUGUAGAGGUGAAAUUCGUAGAUAUUGGGAAGAACACCAGUGGCGAAGGCGGCUCACUGGCUCGGAACUGACGCUGAGAUGCGAAAGCGUGGGGAGCGAACAGGAUUAGAAACCCGAGUAGUCC